GACCGCUCCGGUGGCCUAGUGGUUAGAGCGUCCGCCUUGGAGUUAGAGCGUCCGGCUUGGAUGCGGGAUGUCGCGGUUUUGAGCCCCGGAUGAGUCA